rfam:Aedes albopictus isolate Foshan contig34805, whole genome shotgun sequence.
UGCCCAGCAACUCCUAUCCCUACCUCCACGCGGUACCGGCCGGAAACUAUGAGCAACCUUAGGGAAGAUCGGGUAACCAACCCCGGUGAGACCUUUGGUCGUAGGCUAACAGGGAAGG